UGACAUCAAUAUUAAUUCCGUCGGUAAAAGUACUCCUAAUCAAAAAGCGGCACUUUGCCACAUGAUCUUACAAACGAUUACAAUAUCGCUGAGGUACGUUGGAACAAUAUUUCACAACCAUUGGUGCACAGUUUAAUUAUAGUCAUAAUUAUUGGCACUACAAAAGAAGUUAUCUACCUUUGCAAAUCCCCUAUUUCAUUUCAUUUCAUUCGACAUUCCUUGGUAAUAUCACUUAACAAAGGUUAUCACACGAGAUUCCAGAUAAAGUUCUUAUAUUUCUUUCGUUAAAAUUCUAACCUUUGUGAAUAGACUUUGGCCUUGCUACUUCCCCUAAAGGUUAUCAUACCAUAAGGAUUUCUUUCAUGGUAGCGAAUAUUGAUCUGUUUCAUUUCUUGAUAAAUCCACACGUUACACAUGCACUGGUUGUUGCACGUGUGGUUCGUAUGAAGACCACUGGAGGGCUUCAUUCUAACCUGCUGUUUUAUCAAAAGUUCAAAUCUCGUUUUGCUAUACUUAAUCUUUGCAUUAUAAACCGCGUUUUACAAAGCGAUAACUCUUUAAUAUCGAAUCAAUGAAUUUCUUGAAAAA